AUACGAAGGGUGCUAGCGUUGUUGGGAAUCACUGGGCGUAAGCGCGCGUAGGUGGAUCAAUUAGUUGAGGGUGAAAUCCCGGGGCUCGACCUCGGAACUGCCUUCAAUACUGUUGAUCUUGAGACCGAGAGAGGUGAGUGGAAUUCCUAGUGUAGAGGUGAAAUUCGUAGAUAUUAGGAAGAACACCAGUGGCGAAGGCGGCUCACUGGCUCGGUACUGACGCUGAGGUGCGAAAGCGUGGGGAGCAAACAGGAUUAGAAACCCCAGUAGUCCC
rnacentral:rRNA from 1 species